rnacentral:ncRNA from 1 species
AUAAUAAAACCAAUUAUAUAAGCUCAUAAUAUGGUUGAGCGUUUCUACCAACUGCCGUAAAUAGUUGAUUAUAAUUUCAAAAUUAU